AAUCAACGCUGGCGGCGUGCCUAACACAUGCAAGUCGAACGAAGCUAGUAGCAAUACUAGCUUAGUGGCGGACGGGUGAGUAACGCGUGGGCAUCCUGCCCUUCAGAGGGGGAUAACACUAAGAAAUUGGUGCUAAUACCGCAUGAGAUGGUAGUAUCGCAUGAGAUAGCCAUCAAAGGAGUAAUCCGCUGAAGGAUGGGCCCGCGUCUGAUUAGGUAGUUGGUGAGGUAACGGCUCACCAAGCCUACGAUCAGUAGCCGAUCUGAGAGGAUGAACGGCCACACUGGAACUGAGACACUGUCCAGACUCCUACGGGAGGCAGCAGUGGGGAAUAUUGCGCAAUGGGGGAAACCCUGACGCAGCAACGCCGCGUGGAGGAAGAAGGCCUUCGGGUUGUAAACUCCUGUCAUUUGGGACGAAAAAAAUGACGGUACCAAAUGAGGAAGCCACGGCUAACUACGUGCCAGCCGCCGCUGUAAGAC
rnacentral:rRNA from 1 species